UUUUGAAUAAUUGCAUAUAACCUGUUAAUUUGUAAAAAAUGGAGCGAGAGAUGAUACUUCGAGAUUCGCCGCGCUGGAUGCAGCGACUCAGAGAUAUGUUGCUGACUAUUAAAUCUCAGAAUAUGGAUUCGUCAAUGCAUCAGAUGAAAUGCUUAUUAGCCUGAAUGGAAAUAAGAAGAUCGAUUCUGUUCCAGAUCUUCAGAAUCAGGUUCCUUGAAUUUUUUUCUUCUUACAUUGAGCGUAAGAUGUUCCUAUUUCCGAAAA